AUCCAAUGAUGAACGUAUUUUUUUCAGUUCUGCUACUGAACUUCUUUGAAGACAACUUAUACCGCUUACCUUUGUCUGAUCU
rnacentral:snoRNA from 1 species